UGGGGAAUCUUGGACAAUGGGCGCAAGCCUGAUCCAGCCAUGCCGCGUGAGUGACGAAGGUCUUCGGAUUGUAAAGCUCUUUUGGCGGGGACGAUAAUGACGGUACCCGCAGAAUAAGCCCCGGCUAACUUCGUGCCAGCAGCCGCGGUAAUACGAAGGGGGCUAGCGUUGUUCGGAAUUACUGGGCGUAAAGCGCACGUAGGCGGAUCUAUAAGUCAGGGGUGAAAUCCCGGGGCUCAACCUCGGAACUGCCUUUGAUACUGUAGAUCUCGAGUCCGGAAGAGGUGAGUGGAAUUCCUAGUGUAGAGGUGAAAUUCGUAGAUAUUAGGAAGAACACCAGUGGCGAAGGCGGCUCACUGGUCCGGUACUGACGCUGAGGUGCGAAAGCGUGGGGAGCAAACAGGAUUAGAUACCCCCGUAGUCCCUGAGCGGGCUGGCAAGGCGCAU
rnacentral:rRNA from 1 species